GCCGAUGUCAUGAGGUGUGAUAAAUAUCCAUUGGGAGCCUUGUGCCAAUGCAAAAUCCACAAGAGUGUCUAAGCUAAUUUUCCGGCUUACUGCAUCCAUAAACACAUCGAACUCAUCCAUUGCUCGAAAUGGGGCUUCUGUCAUUUCGUGUAAUGCCAAUGCAAAGCAUAGAGUUGAAAAUGACCGUUCUCCACCUGAAAGUCCACGGGUA
rnacentral:misc_RNA from 1 species